CCUACGUGGUGCAGCAGUGGGGAAUAUUGGACAAUGGGCGAAAGCCUGAUCCAGCCAUGCCGCGUGUGUGAAGAAGGCCUUCGGGUUGUAAAGCACUUUCAGUGGGGAAGAAAGCCUUGGGGCUAAUACCCUCGAGGAAGGACAUCACCCACAGAAGAAGCACCGGCUAACUCCGUGCCAGCAGCCGCGGUAAUACGGAGGGUGCGAGCGUUAAUCGGAAUUACUGGGCGUAAAGCGCGCGUAGGCGGUCUGAUAAGCCGGUUGUGAAAGCCCCGGGCUCAACCUGGGAACGGCAUCCGGAACUGUCAGGCUAGAGUGCAGGAGAGGAAGGUAGAAUUCCCGGUGUAGCGGUGAAAUGCGUAGAGAUCGGGAGGAAUACCAGUGGCGAAGGCGGUCUUCUGGACUGACACUGACGCUGAGGUGCGAAAGCGUGGGUAGCAAACAGGAUUAGAUACCCGAGUAGUC
rnacentral:rRNA from 1 species